ensembl:misc_RNA Metazoa_SRP Metazoan signal recognition particle RNA
GCCGGGCGUGGUGGCGGGCGCCUGUAGUCCCAGCUACUCGGAGGCUGAGGUGGGAGAAUGGCGUGAACCCGGGAGGUGGAGCUUGCAGUGAGCCGAGAUCGCGCCACUGCACUCCAGCCUGGGUGACAGAGCAAGACUCCGUCUCAA